CCCGGUGGCAUUGGCGGGGAGCCUCCACCCGAUCCCAUUCCGAACUCGGUCGUUAAAGUCCCCAGCGCCGAUGGUACUACGUCUUAAGGCGUGGGAGAGUAGGUCGCCGCCAGGC
rfam:Alphaproteobacteria bacterium RIFCSPHIGHO2_12_FTLL_63_12 rifcsphigho2_12_scaffold_40422, whole genome shotgun sequence.